GACUUUAAAUGUUACCAGGAAUGGGGCAUCCAUAGCUUCCCUGGGCAACCUGUGCCACUGUCUCACCACCCUCCCAGUGAAGAAUUUCUUCCUUAUGUCU